CUCAGUGUCCCUAGUGUCUGUGUCCCUAGUCUCUCAGUGUCCCCAUUUAUCUCAGUGUCCCCAUGUCUCUAAGUGUCCCCUAGUGUCCUAGUGAUAUCGGGAAACUGGGAGACAUGGGGAUACAGACUCUAAGGGACACUGGGAAACAUGGGGAUACAAACACUAGGGGACACUGGGCGACAUGGGGACACUGAGACACUAGGGGACACAGAGACAUGGAGACACUGAGCGACUUGGAGACUUGGGAGAUAUGGGGCACUCCCAGUGUCCCCAUGUCUCCCUGUCACUGUCCCUAGUAUCUCAGUAUCCCCAUGACUCCCAGUGUCCCUGGUGUCUCUCAGUGUCCGUAGUGUGCCAGUGUUCCUAGUGCUUGCUAGUCUUCCAAAGUCCCCUACUCUCCCAGUGUCUCAGUGUCCCCAUGUCUCCUAGUGUCUCAGUGUCCUCUAGUAUAAAAGAAAAUCUCAGGCACUCACUGUGAUAGAUUUAAGCAGGUUUAUUGGACACUGCAACAUUUUGACCUGUACCCAGGUCUUUAUCAAGUCUCCAGUGUCCCCUAUGUAUCAGAGUGUCUCAGUGUCCCUGGUGUCUCUCAGUGUCCUUAGUGCCUCAGUGUCUCCUAGUCUCUCAGAAUCCCCUAGUCUCCCAGUGUCCGCAUGUCUCACAAUGCCCCCAAGUGUCUCAGUGUCCCCUAGUAUAAAAGAAAGAAAUCUCAGGCACUCACUGUGAUAGAUUUAAGCAGGUUUAUUGGACACCGCAACGUUUUGACCUGUACCCAGGUCUUUAUCAAGUCUCCAGUGGCCCCUAUAUAUCACAGUGUCCCCUAUGUAUCACAGUGUCUCAUUGCCCCAUGUCUCCCAGUGUCCCCUCAUGUCUCAAAGUCACCCAGUGUCCCCAUGUCUCCCAGUGUCCCCAAGAGUCUGUGUCCCCAGGUCUCCCAGUGUUCCCUAGUAUCUCAGUG